GAACCCCCGACUAGCGAAGGGCUUGCCCCGACGAGUGUACCGAAGGUCAUGCUUCGGCAAGCGUGCUAAAAGCUCAUCAUAUGAGUUCGGGGUCCGACUAAAUAACGUCACUCCACUCAGAGAUGCAGAAAAUAUCUCGCUCCGAUCAACGGUGGCAUGGGAUAUGCCCUCAGCGACUAUGCCAAGGACCACUACUAAAGCGCACACAUUAGGUAGCCAACAUAGAUUGUCCAGUCGAUUACAAGACAUGUGUCGCCACCACAGCUAUUUGCAAAAGUCGCACAUUGAAAAAAUGUGCAAAUAUCCCACACAUUUUUGCCUAUAAAAGUGCAUUGUUCCCAAAAUGGAAAGGUAAUUAAUUUAACACACUACGGUUACUCUACUAAAAUCGUUUCUAAUCCCAUCCCAUAUGUAUGACCAAAAAAAAAUAUUUCCCAUCCCAUACGUAACUAACUUAAGCAUCAGAGAGCGUUCUGCUAGUACCACACCAAUGUCAAGAUCUUGAUGACGAUUGCUCCUUCUUUACCUUUGCAUAUCU
rnacentral:lncRNA from 1 species